rnacentral:rRNA from 1 species
UACAGAGGUCUCAAGCGUUGUUCGGAUUCAUUGGGCGUAAAGGGUCCGUAGGCGGUUUGGUAAGUCAGUGGUGAAAGCCCAUCGCUCAACGGUGGAACGGCCAUUGAUACUGCCAGACUUGAAUUAUUAGGAAGUAACUAGAAUAUGUAGUGUAGCGGUGAAAUGCUUAGAGAUUACAUGGAAUACCAAUUGCGAAGGCAGGUUACUACUAAUGGAUUGACGCUGAUGGACGAAAGCGUGGGUAGCGAACAGG